GCGAUUAAAAUAAGCACCACAUAUACUAAAAUUGGGACAAUACAAAGAAGAAUAGCAUGGCCCCUGUGCAAGGAUGACACACAGAUUUGUUAAACACUCCAUAUUUUU
ensembl:snRNA U6 U6 spliceosomal RNA